CCUACGGGGGGCAGCAGUGGGGAAUAUUGCACAAUGGGCGCAAGCCUGAUGCAGCCAUGCCGCGUGUGUGAAGAAGGCCUUCGGGUUGUAAAGCACUUUCAGCGGGGAGGAAGGCGGUGAGGUUAAUAACCUCAUCGAUUGACGUUACCCGCAGAAGAAGCACCGGCUAACUCCGUGCCAGCAGCCGCGGUAAUACGGAGGGUGCAAGCGUUAAUCGGAAUUACUGGGCGUAAAGCGCACGCAGGCGGUCUGUCAAGUCGGAUGUGAAAUCCCCGGGCUCAACCUGGGAACUGCAUUCGAAACUGGCAAGCUAGAGUCUUGUAGAGGGGGGUAGAAUUCCAGGUGUAGCGGUGAAAUGCGUAGAGAUCUGGAGGAAUACCGGUGGCGAAGGCGGCCCCCUGGACAAAGACUGACGCUCAGGUGCGAAAGCGUGGGGAGCAAACAGGAUUAGAUACCCGGGUAGUC
rnacentral:rRNA from 1 species